rnacentral:rRNA from 1 species
CAAGCGUUGUCCGGAUUUAUUGGGCGUAAAGAGCGUGUAGGCGGCCAGGUAGGUCUGGUGUGAAAACUCGAGGCUCAACCUCGAGAGGUCAUCGGAAACCAUCUGGCUAGAGUCCGGAAGAGGAGAGUGGAAUUCCCGGUGUAGCGGUGAAAUGCGCAGAUAUCGGGAAGAACACCUAUGGCGAAGGCAGCUCUCUGGGACGGUACUGACGCUGAGACGCGAAAGCGUGGGGAGCGAACAGG